rnacentral:tRNA from 3 species
UGCCGGUUAGCUCAGUGGGUAGAGCGUCGCCUUUAAAAUGAAAAUACGGCGAAGGUCGGUGGUUCAAAUCCACCAUUGGCAACCA